rnacentral:rRNA from 1 species
UGGGGAAUAUUGCACAAUGGGGGAAACCCUGAUGCAGCGACGCCGCGUGAGCGAAGAAGGCUUUCGAGUCGUAAAGCUCUGUCCUAUGAGAAGAUAAUGACGGUAUCAUAGGAGGAAGCCCUGGCUAAAUACGUGCCAGCAGCCGCGGUAAUACGUAUGGGGCGAGCGUUGUCCGGAAUUAUUGGGCGUAAAGAGCUUGUAGGCGGUUCGUCGCGUCUGGUGUGAAAGCCCAUCGCUUAACGGUGGGUUUGCGCCGGGUACGGGCGGGCUAGAGUGCAGUAGGGGAGACUGGAAUUCCCGGUGUAACGGUGGAAUGUGUAGAUAUCGGGAAGAACACCAAUGGCGAAGGCAGGUCUCUGGGCUGUUACUGACGCUGAGAAGCGAAAGCGUGGGGAGCGAACAGG